CUAUAUAUUAAGUUUUAAAAAUUUCAGAUUUUAACAUUAAUAGAGUUCCGAUGCAGUUUGGGUCACAAUCUCAGGAUUUUGGAUUUUCUUUGGUUGUCUUCCAAAUAUAAACUUAUGGGUACGAGUCUACUGCUGUUUUUCAGAUGUCCCACCCCUGCUCCAGAUAAAGGAGUUUUCCUUGCCUGUCUAUUCCUGAGAAUUGUGUUUCUCUCUCUCCUGGCCUCCCUUUCCCAGUUACUAAGCCAUGGGCCUAAAGGCUCCAAAUAAUUUCAUGAAUUUUAACUUCUGUCUCUAGUCUACCUGCUUCAGCAGGUUUCCACUUGUCUGGCAGACACAUCCAAGCAUAAAUUUCUGCAAUCUGCUCCAAAGGACCACGAGCUCUAGACUUGCGGAAGGCUGAUAUGGUGUGGACCAGUCCAACCAAACGUAGCUGUUCCUUGUCUCUACAGUCAGGUCAGAUGACCACAUGCUUCUGAUAAAUAUGCCAUUGCCUGGGUUCCCUCCUUACCUUUGACUGGUCUCUCAGCCUCCUGGGCUCUGACCACCAGAGCCCCGUUUCAGCUUGAAGCAGCUAUAGAAGAGUAUUGUCCCUGCUCCCCUUCUCCCCCUGCCAAACAGGCUAAAGGCCUAAGUCAAAGAAAAAACUCUGGAAUAAGGGACAAAUUGGCUACCUAAUGCCCAUUGAUAAAUACCAGGAAACUGGACCCAAUAUUGUCAAUUGAUAAAUUUAUUAACUAAAAUGAUUCUACAAUAGAAUAAGACACUUGACCUUCUUUAUGCCAAAACAAAGAAGUAUUAUAUGACCUUAAGAAAUAAUUAUUUCUAUAUAAAUCAUUCAGGAUUAUAAUCUGGCUGUACUCAAAGAUCAGAACUACAGGGCCUUAAAAAAUGAUAAUAGAUGCAGAUAUCACUGCCAAUGGCUUAACAAGUGUAUCCUUACUCAAGGUCUAUUCAGGUCUAGGAAUGUAAGUCUCCAUGUCCUUGCUAAAUUUAUCUGUUCAUAUUAACAAAAACUAACUUAGAGAUUUACACUUCUAGAAAAUUUAAAUAAAUGAUGGCAUAUGUUUGAUCAACAAGAUAUAUAUCGUAUAAUGGAGUUUCUGGUCCACCAAGAGGGUCCUUUUCUCAGAGGGAAACUUUUCUCAGAUUUGGGCCACACCCUGACUCACAAUCCCCUUUUCUCCUGUUCCCAUUCGGCCCUGGGAUCUUUCUCCUGUCACUCUUCUUUACUUUCUCAGGAGACAGUAAGUCCUAGCCUUGUAGAAGCUGCUAAGAUAUGGGAGACUAAGGGAAUACUAGUUGAUAGUCAGCUGUUCAUACCUAAUGGACAGGCAGUCCUCAAAUGCUCAGAAAUCUGCAGGAUAUGGCAUUUAAAAUGUUGAUCAAAAGUUUAUUAUAUCAGACAGAGAUUCCCAGAUCCUAGCAGUGACCCAAGUUCUCCAAAGAAGAUUACGAGGCACCAUGAUGUCUCCAUCUGGAUGAUGGCAACACUGACCUCUGGGCAAGAUGGCCCAAUGUGACACCUGCCACCAAAGACCCGGGCCAGACUGUGGACAAACAGCAGGACAUUGGAGAAUUGAUUGCACCUCUUUUGCAUAGACAAUGUUCCUGCAUGGGUCCACCCCUUCUGCCUGGGCCAAGGCUAACCAGAUAUACUAGCCCCUGCACCAGCUCUGAGGAUGCCAACCACCAACUGAGGAUGCCAACUGGGAUGGAUACGUCCCCACCUCCAGAGAAACAGCAGAUAUGAUGGCUUAACAGAUGUGAUGGCUAAUGUCCUCCUAAAGAAUACAUCAUCCCUCAAUUCACUGCUGGUACCUCCUCUCCAGGCUCAAGCGGGCACCUACCUAACAAUGACAACAAUCUAUUUUUUUCUCCUAGCAACCUGCCUUCUCAGCUCCCUCAAGGAACAGAUGCCUGAGAUACCCAUGCCUGAGAUCUCCAUGAUGACAACCAAAUUCUUCUUCAGUCAUACCUCCUGCUGUGUGUGAUCCCGACUCCCACCUCUCCACCCCACUUCACCCCCAAAUCAGCAGGAAGCAGUCUCGAGAAUUCAGUGCCCUUAUUCCCACACUUGCUGCCAUAACUCACCUUUUUAUAAUAAUCAAAAUGGAGGAAUGUUGGCAUUCUAGCCCACCCCUGGGGACCUGCCUUGCGCAUCCUGACGGGAAGCUUACUUUAAAAGAAAACUCCUCCUCCCCCUCUCUUUCUCCCUGUUCCCAUGAGGUGUGGGCUUCUCUCUCUCCCCAUGCUCUCUUUCUCAUUCUCUCCCUCUCCCCCUCUUUUCCCCCAACCAAAUAAAACUCUCCACUGA